UACGGGGGGAGCAAGCGUUGUUCGGAUUUACUGGGCGUAAAGGGCGCGUAGGCGGCGUAACAAGUCACUUGUGAAAUCUCCGGGCUUAACUCGGAGCGGUCAAGUGAUACUGUUGUGCUAGAGUGCGGAAGGGGCUACUGGAAUUCUCGGUGUAGCGGUGAAAUGCGUAGAUAUCAGGAGGAAUACCGAUGGCGAAGGCAGGUCUCUGGGCUGACACUGACGCUCAUGCACGAAAGCGUGGGGAGCAAACAGG
rnacentral:rRNA from 1 species